AAUUGGUGAUGGAGACAUUGGCUUAUGAAGAGAUUAUAAUGCUCUUAAACUUCAUAAAACAAUUCUCCAUCUUGUUGUGUGAAAAAGUGGAUCUUGUCCCUUAAUUC